UAAGCGAAUGAAGCGUACACGGUGGAUGCCUAGGCAGUCAGAGGCGAUGAAGGACGUGCUAAUCUGCGAAAAGCGUCGGUAAGGUGAUAUGAACCGUUAUAGCCGGCGAUGUCCGAAUGGGGAAACCCAGUGCAUUAAUGCACUAUCGUUUGAUGAAUUGAUAGUCAAACGAGGCGAACCGGGGGAACUGAAACAUCUCAGUACCCCGAGGAAAAGAAAUCAACCGAGAUUCCCCCAGUAGCGGCGAGCGAACGGGGAGCAGCCCA
rnacentral:rRNA from 1 species